rnacentral:rRNA from 1 species
AUUGAACGCUGGCGGCAUGCCUUACACAUGCAAGUCGAACGGUAACAGGUCUUCGGAUGCUGACGAGUGGCGAACGGUUGAGUAAUACAUCGGAACGUGCCCGAUCGUGGGGGAUAACGGAGCGAAAGCUUUGCUAAUACCGCAUACGAUCUACGGAUGAAAGCAGGGGACCGCAAGGCCUUGCGCGGACGGAGCGGCCGAUGGCAGAUUAGGUAGUUGGUGGGAUAAAAGCUUACCAAGCCGACGAUCUGUAGCUGGUCUGAGAGGACGACCAGCCACACUGGGACUGAGACACGGCCCAGACUCCUACGGGAGGCAGCAGUGGGGAAUUUUGGACAAUGGGCGAAAGCCUGAUCCAGCCAUGCCGCGUGCAGGAUGAAGGCCUUCGGGUUGUAAACUGCUUUUGUACGGAACGAAAAGGCUCUUUCUAAUAAAGAGGGUCCAUGACGGUACCGUAAGAAUAAGCACCGGCUAACUACGUG